UACAGAGGGUGCAAGCGUUAAUCGGAAUUACUGGGCGUAAAGCGUGCGUAGACGGUUGCGUAAGUCAGAUGUGAAAGCCCCGGGCUCAACCUGGGAAUUGCAUUUGAGACUGAAUAGCUAGGGUACGGUAGAGGGAAGCGGAAUUUCCGGUGUAGCGGUGAAAUGCGUAGAUAUCGGAAGGAACAUCAGUGGCGAAAGCGGGUCUCUGGGCAGUAACUGACGCUGAGGAGCGAAAGCGUGGGGAGCGAACAGG
rnacentral:rRNA from 1 species